rnacentral:rRNA from 1 species
CCUACGGGCGGCUGCAGUGGGGGAUAUUGCACAAUGGGGGGAACCCUGAUGCAGCGACGCCGCGUGGGUGAAGAAGCGCCUCGGCGCGUAAAGCCCUGUCAGCAGGGAAGAAAAUGACGGUACCUGAAGAAGAAGCACCGGCUAACUACGUGCCAGCAGCCGCGGUAAUACGUAGGGGGCAAGCGUUAUCCGGAUUUACUGGGUGUAACGGGGGCGCAGACGGCGAUGCAAGCCAGGAGUGAAAGCCCGGGGCUUAACCCCGGGACUGCUCUUGGAACUGCGUGGCUGGAGUGCAGGAGGGGCAGGCGGAAUUCCUGGUGUAGCGGUGAAAUGCGUAGAUAUGAGGAGGAACACCGGUGGCGAAGGCGGCCUGCUGGACUGCAACUGACGUUGAGGCCCGAAAGCGUGGGGAGCAAACAGGAUUAGAUACCCCUGUAGUC